GAUGAACGCUAGCGGCAGGCUUAAUACAUGCAAGUCGUGGGGUAGAGAGGUGCUUGCACUUCUUGAGACCGGCAAACGGGUGCGGAACACGUACACAACCUUCCUUUUAGAGGGGGAUAGCCCAGGGAAACUUGGAUUAAUACCCCGUAAGAUGUUGGUGAGGCAUCUCACUGAUAUUAUAGCAGCGAUGCGCUAGAAGACGGGUGUGCGUAUGAUUAGGUAGUUGGCGGGGUAAUGGCCCACCAAGCCUACGAUCAUUAACUGGUGUGAGAGAACGACCAGUCACACGGGCACUGAGACACGGGCCCGACUCCUACGGGAGGCAGCAGUAAGGAAUAUUGGUCAAUGGACGCAAGUCUGAACCAGCCAUGCCGCGUGGAGGAUGAAGGUCCUCUGGAUUGUAAACUUCUUUUAUCUGGGGCGAAAAAGGGGAAUUCUUUCUCAACUGACGGUACCAGAUGAAUAAGCACCGGCUAACUCCGUGCCAGCCGCCGCAGUAAUAC
rnacentral:rRNA from 1 species